rnacentral:lncRNA from 1 species
CGUCGCAGGUCGCGGCCUAGCCCGGCGCUCCCGUCGCGGCAGCGCGCCUCCCGCUGUUCCGCAGCCACGCGCAGCGCGCACACGCGCUCCCGGCACUGCCGCCGGCCCCGCUGCAGCUCGCGCAGCCCCUGCUCCGCCGCCGCCACGUCCUCCAGCACGCGCGAGAAGCGCUCGAAGCUGGCGUAGCUCGUGUUUCGCGGCAUGCUUGAGUGCGACUUGAGACUGUACUCGCGCAGGCGCGCCGCGCGCAGUCGGCGUCGCUCUGGCUUCCGGGCGCCGUCCUCACGCCGGCGAACCUGUGAGGAGCAGAGCUGCGGCAGGGGGGCCACGCCGACAGCCCUCCCACCUGCCAGCUGGAUCCCGGAGUCCCGAGGCCUCACCUUGAUCCAGGAAUGCUCCAGGCUCUGUGCGAUGGUCAUCCUCCUCCUGCGGGGUGGGGCGGGUCAGCUCUCUGGUAACUGCACCCACGGGACCCCGCAUGACCCCAGCCUUCCACAAGUGUCCUUUCCCAGUGUGUGAAGAAGUCUGACAAGCUGUAGCCCUAUCACCCCUAAAGCCCCCGGUCCCCCGUCCCGGGGUAGUCUUGUUCCACCACCGUGGUGAGGUUCUAAGAGCAGUAUUUGUGUAGGGUUUUAAGAUUUGUGGUCACUUGUGCCCAGAGGUCCUGGCUUAGCUGGCCACGGAGGGUGUAAAGACUGGUGGUGAACCAGACACCCAGCACCCAGGAGGCUGAGGUAGCCUGGGCUACAGAAGACCCUGCUUUAAAAAUACAACAAAAAAUACCCCCAUCCCCCCGC